GUCAAUCACUUUUAUAAUAAAAUAGCAAUUUAAAGUUAAAUUUAUGGGAUGGUAUGAAAUAGUUCCAAGUUUUGUCUUGUACGCCACAUUUUUUGUGGCUCCAGCUUUCAUACUACCAGCAAUUCAUCUUGUUUUUAUUCAUAAGCCAAAUGCGCGACACGUUGCUGGUUAUUUUAAUAGGCCUAUGUUAAAAAGAGAUAUUAGAUUAACUAAUGGAAACCCAGAAAAUCAUAUUGGACUUGAAAAAUUGCAAAGUAAAGAAGAAAUUGCUGCCUUAUAUUUGAAUUUAAUCAAAAACUAAUAUGUAGAUUUUAAUAUAUACAAUGGCAUAUUUAUUUUAUAAUGCUUGGUGCAAAUUAUAAUAAAUUCAGAUUUAUUGGUGAUUAAUAUUGAUUUUAAUUGUGAAAAAUUAACUAUAAACAUCAAUAUGCUUGAUAUUUCAUACAAUAAAGAAAAG